AACGAACGCUGGCGGCAGGCCUAAUACAUGCAAGUCGAACGCACUCUUCGGAGUGAGUGGCAGACGGGUGAGUAACGCGUGGGAACCUUCCUUGCAGUACGGAAUAACUCCGGGAAACCGGUGCUAAUACCGUAUACGUCCUUCGGGAGAAAGAUUUAUCGCUGCAAGAUGGGCCCGCGUCGGAUUAGCUAGUUGGUGGGGUAAUGGCCUACCAAGGCUACGAUCCGUAGCUGGUCUGAGAGGAUGAUCAGCACACUGGGACUGAGACACGGCCCAGACUCCUACGGGAGGCAGCAGUAGGGAAUAUUGGACAAUGGGCGAAAGCCUGAUCCAGCCAUGCCGCGUGAGUGAAGAAGGCCUUAGGGUUGUAAAGCUCUUUUGGCGGGGACGAUAAUGACGGUACCCGCAGAAUAAGCUCCGGCUAACUUCGUGCCAGCCGCCGCCGUAACAC
rnacentral:rRNA from 1 species